UAUUGCACAAUGGGGGAAACCCUGAUGCAGCAACGCCGCGUGAAGGAAGACGGUUUUCGGAUUGUAAACUUCUAUCAAUAGGGAAGAAAGAAAUGACGGUACCUAAAUAAGAAGCCCCGGCUAACUACGUGCCAGCAGCCGCGGUAAUACGUAUGGUGCAAGCGUUAUCCGGAUUUACUGGGUGUAAAGGGAGCGUAGACGGAUAGGCAAGUCUGGAGUGAAAACCCAGGGCUCAACCCUGGGACUGCUUUGGAAACUGCAGAUCUGGAGUGCCGGAGAGGUAAGCGGAAUUCCUAGUGUAGCGGUGAAAUGCGUAGAUAUUAGGAGGAACACCAGUGGCGAAGGCGGCUUACUGGACGGUGACUGACGUUGAGGCUCGAAAGCGUGGGGAGCAA
rnacentral:rRNA from 1 species